rnacentral:rRNA from 1 species
UAUAGCAAAAAUAUGAAUAAAGAAUGGCACUAAUUGUCUGAUCUUGGAAGCUAAGCAGAGUUUGGCCUGGUUAGUACUUGGAUGAGAGACCACUUAGGAAGACCAGGUGCUGUAG